rnacentral:rRNA from 1 species
AACGAACGCUGGCGGCAUGCCUAACACAUGCAAGUCGAACGAGACCUUCGGGUCUAGUGGCGCACGGCUGCGUAACGCGUGGGAAUCUGCCCUUGGGUUCGGAAUAACAGUUGGAAACGACUGCUAAUACCGGAUGAUGACGUAAGUCCAAAGAUUUAUCGCCCAGGGAUGAGCCCGCGUAGGAUUAGCUAGUUGGUGGGGUAAAGGCCUACCAAGGCGACGAUCCUUAGCUGGUCUGAGAGGAUGAUCAGCCACACUUGGACUGAGACACGGCCCAGACUCCUACGAGAGGCUGCAGUGGGGUAUAUUGGACGCUGGGCGAAAGCCUGAUCCAGCAAUGCCGCGUGAGUGAUGAAGGCCUUAGGGUUGUAAAGCUCUUUUACCCGGGAUGAUAAUGACAGUACCGGGAGAAUAAGCCCCGGCUAACUCCGUG